rnacentral:tRNA from 1 species
GGCAAUGUGUCACUGAGGUUAGUGAGUCAGUCUUAAAGACAGGAAGACUUGGGUUCAAGUCUCACCUUUGAUG